GACGAACGCUGGCGGCGGGCUUAACACAUGCAAGUCGAACGAAGUGGCGAACGGGUGAGUAACGCGUAAGCAACCUGCCCUUCAGAGGGGGAUAACAGUUGGAAACGACUGCUAAUACCGCAUACUGAAGGGGGGGAUUGCGUGGGAUUUGCUAGUUGGAGGGGGAACGGCCCACCAAGGCGAUGGUCAGUAGACGGGUUGGUAGGAUGGACGGCCAACACGGGAAUGGGGAACGGGCCAGACUCCUACGGGAGGCAGCCAUUGGGAAACUUUCGCAAUGGACCGAAGUCUGACUGCGCAAAGCCGCGGGAGAGAAGACGGCCUUUCGGUUUUAAAGCUAUUUUAAUCGGGACGCGGUACCGGAAUAGAAAGCCACGGCUAACUCCGUGCCAGCAGCCGCGGUAAUAC
rnacentral:rRNA from 1 species